rnacentral:rRNA from 1 species
UACGGAGGGUGCAAGCGUUAUCCGGAUUCACUGGGCUUAAAGGGUGCGUAGGCGGGCUUAUAAGUCAGUGGUGAAAGCCCGGAGCUUAACUUCGGAACUGCCAUUGAUACUGUCAGUCUUGAGUACACUUGAGGUGGGCGGAAUACAUCAUGUAGUGGUGAAAUACUUAGAUAUGAUGUAGAACACCGAUUGCGAAGGCAGCUCACUAAGUUGUAACUGACGCUGAGGCACGAAAGCGUGGGGAUCAAACAGG